UAGUCUCCAUUAGUUGGGUAGUAGGACUCACUGAUACUUAGUAGUCUCAUCCCACAUUUAUCAAGUUUUUCAGAUAAGCAGGAUUCUCGUGGUAAGCAGACUAUGGAGUAGUUGCAUCAGUCGAAGGAUAUUAUGUUUCUAGAUGUUUUGUCAUCUUUAGGGAUGACAAUGGUUACGGUAUGGGUAUGGUACUAUAGUACGCAUCCCCGUACUCGCAGUUUGAAAAAAUACUUGUACCUAUCUUCAUACCCGCGUGGGUAAUAAUUUUUGUACCCGUGUUCAUACCC
rnacentral:lncRNA from 1 species